AGUGAACGCUGGCGGUAGGCCUAACACAUGCAAGUCGAACGGCAGCACAGUAAUAGCUUGCUCUUACGGGUGGCGAGUGGCGGACGUGUGAGGAAUACAUCGGAAUCUACUUUUUCGUGGGGGAUAACGUAGGGAAACUUACGCUAAUACCGCAUACGACCUACGGGUGAAAGCAGGGGAUCUUCGGACCUUUCGCGAUUGAAUGAGCCGAUGUCGGAUUAGCUAGUUGGCGGGGUAAAGGCCCACCAAGGCGACGAUCCGUAGCUGGUCUGAGAGGAUGAUCAGCCACACUGGAACUGAGACACGGUCCAGACUCCUACGGGAGGCAGCAGUGGGGAAUAUUGGACAAUGGGCGCAAGCCUGAUCCAGCCAUACCGCGUGGGUGAAGAAGGACUUCGGGUUGUAAAGCCCUUUUGUUGGGAAAGAAAAGCAGCAGGUUAAUACCCCGCUGUUCUGACGGUACCCAAAGAAUAAGCACCGGCUAACUUCGUG
rnacentral:rRNA from 1 species